rnacentral:rRNA from 1 species
CGGCGGACGGGUGAGUAACGCGUGGGUAACCUACCCUGUACACACGGAUAACAUACCGAAAGGUAUGCUAAUACGGGAUAAUAUAUUUGAGAGGCAUCUCUUGAAUAUCAAAGGUGAGCCAGUACAGGAUGGACCCGCGUCUGAUUAGCUAGUUGGUAAGGUAACGGCUUACCAAGGCGACGAUCAGUAGCCGACCUGAGAGGGUGAUCGGCCACAUUGGAACUGUGACACGGUCCAA